UACGAAGGACCCAAGCGUUAUCCGGAUUUAUUGGGUUUAAAGGGUGCGUAAGCGGAUUAUUAAGUCAGUGGUGAAAGCCUUCAGCUUAACUGAAGAACUGCCAUUGAUACUGAUGAUCUUGAGUAUGAUUGAGGUGGGCGGAAUGUGUCAUGUAGCGGUGAAAUGCUUAGAUAUGACACAGAACACCGAUUGCGAAGGCAGCUCACUAAGCCAUAACUGACGCUGAUGCACGAAAGCGUGGGGAGCAAACAGG
rnacentral:rRNA from 1 species